UACAGAGGGUGCAAGCGUUAAUCGGAAUUACUGGGCGUAAAGCGUGCGCAGACGGUUAUCUAAGUCGAGUGUGAAAGCCCCGGGCUCAACCUGGGAAUUGCAUUCGAUACUGAAUAGCUAGGGUGCGGAAGAGGGAAGUGGAAUUUCCGGUGUAGCGGUGAAAUGCGUAGAUAUCGGAAGGAACAUCAGUGGCGAAAGCGACUUCCCGGUCCAGCACCGACGUUCAGGCGCGAAAGCGUGGGGAGCAAACAGG
rnacentral:rRNA from 1 species